rnacentral:rRNA from 1 species
UACGGAGGGUGCGAGCGUUGUCCGGAAUCACUGGGCGUAAAGGGUGCGUAGGUGGUCGGGUAAGUCUGAUGUGAAAUCUCCGAGCUUAACUCGGAAAUGGCAUUGGAUACUAUUCGGCUAGAGGGUUUGAGGGGGGACUGGAAUACUUGGUGUAGCAGUGAAAUGCGUAGAUAUCAAGUGGAACACCAGUGGCGAAGGCGAGUCCCUGGAAAACUCCUGACACUGAGGCACGAAAGCUAGGGGAGCAAACAGG